UCCUCAAUAGCUCAGCCGGUAGAGCAUGCGGCUGUUAACCGCAGGGUCGUUGGUUCGAGUCCAACUUGGGGAGCCA
rnacentral:tRNA from 21 species